CAAAUGUUCAAAGAAACUCCUGUAUGUUUUGUGAUAAGACCGAUGCUGAGGGUUAUCUGAGGUCAUGAAUUGUCGAUUUUGUAUCUUUCACAUAUAAUAACCCCAAGCCAUGUACUCCCAAAGACUAAUGUUCUAAGGUGUUACCUUUUCUGUCUACAGGUAGCGUGUGGAACUGUCGUUGUCAGACCACACAAAUAUUGUCUCAGGUCAAGUAAGUCACUUAUAAACCUCUCACUACAAAGAAAAAAUCGUUUUCAUAGCACUAGAGUACAGCGUUUUUUGUCUUUCCGCUAUGGUUGAUAUACCCCUUAAUUUUAGAUAGCGUUUGUAUAUUUGGAAACGCUAUGAUAGAAUGGUAUAUUCGGAAACGCUAUGAUAGCCUAUUUUUAAUAGCAGAAUAUAAUGAAAUGCUAUAUUUAGCUUUUUGAAUCCCCAAAUCCUAAACAAAUUUUUAAUCCCUAAACUAUAAAACACAACUUAAAACUCUAAUAUUCUCAUACUAUAACUUUAGAUCUUAAACAUAAACUCGAAAUUUACUCUUUUUAAUAUUAAUAUAUAACUUUCAAAACACAAGCCUUAAAUCUCCAAUCAAACUCUAACAAUAUAAUCCAAUCCCUAAACCACAUACUUUAACAUAUAUCAUAAGAACAUUAAACCUCAAACUUUAAAUAAAAUAUAAUUUUUAUAAUAUAUAUCUCAGACUAUGUAUAAUAUUUCAAAUUUACAUUAUACAAUUCAAAAAUAAAAAUAAAACCAUUAAAUAAAAAACAACACAAAAAGAUGAUUAUAGAUAAAUGAACAGAUAAUUCUUAUUAGUUUUAUUUUGGGCAUUUGAUUAGUUUUGAUCCAAAGGCUAAAAAUCACUCUUUUGUGAUCUUCCUCCUUCGUUCUUAUUGGUCCAUUCUUCAAAAUUUGGAUUAAUAUUUUUGACCAUUGAUUAUUUGUAAUCCAAUGGCCAAGAAUUCAUCUUUUCAUUUUCCUUCUUCUAGACUUUAUCGAUCUCUUCCUCUUUGUAUCAUUCCCUUCAUCUCCCUCACUGUCUCAAACACACACAUACAUGAUUCAUGUAACACACAUCUCCUUUCUCUGUAACACUCUCCUCACACACACACGAGUCUGAAGGUGGAGUCGAACCCAGAACCCAGCGACCGCGGAUCUGAAGAUGCUUGACCACCGCCAUCUCCCCCUUUCGCCACCGUCUCUCUCACCACCACUGGUCACCUCUCUCUCUCUCUCUCUCUCUCUCUCUCUCUCUCUCUCUCUCUCUCUCUCUUUUAAAUCUGGUUUUCUGUUCUCGUUAAAAGUGAGGAAGAAAUGGUGAUUUUUAGCAGAUGUGGUAGUCAUUGGGUUUGCGGCUAGGAGGCGAUGGAGAAGCUGGUGGUCGUGAAGGGAGGUGGUGGUCAUGGGGCUUGCGGCGAGGAGGCGACGGAGAAGUGGGUGGUCGGAGCAGAGUGGUGGUCAUGGGGUUUGCAGCGAGGAGGCGACAGUGAAGUUGGUGGCCGUGAGAAGAGGUUGUGGUCAUGGGGCUUGCGGCGAGGAACGGAGAAGCUCCUGAGGAGGCUGGCUCAAGAAGAUUAGGUUUUGAUUAAGUUUAAUUAAAAUUAGGUUAGAUUAGAUUUAAUUUUUAUAACAUUUGGUUUAGUGUUAAGUGUAAACUGAUUCUUAUCUUCUAUCAAAUGUAAUUUAUAAUGUUUAAUAAAAAAUAAUUUAUUAUGUUUUUAAUUAUUAAACCUACAAAUAAAUAAAUUUUAAAUAAAUAAAUUUUAAAUAAAUAAAUUUUAAAUAAUUAAUUCUAAAAUAAAUAAUUUAAUGUAAAUAAUAACGUUAAAGAUAUGCUAUUAAAAAUAUUUAAUUGCAUACAGAAAAACGCUAUAAUAUAUAACAAUAAGAUAGCAAUGCAAAAAACCGCUAUCUAAUGUGUUUGGCCUACAAUGACGGGCGAUGAUACAGCGUUUCAUAAACCGCUAUCGUAUCGUUAGAUAGCGUUUUCCGUCCGCUAAGAAAAGCCUUUUUUUUGUAGUGUCCUAAUAAUGAAAGUUCGAUCGAAAUAUCAGCCUCGCUUUCUCUGCAUACAUUGCAGCCUUGCAGGUAACGGCUUGGGACAGCACUCCAGUUUUAAAAAAAAAGGCCAAAUCAAUUGACUGGAGACAAAUCUAAAAAGGACAGCCACAUUGCUAGGAAUAGCUAUCAAAAAGGUCGACACAAGAAACAUAGAUUACUUUGUUUUAGUAAUCAAUAAUAGCUAUCAAAAAGGGUUCAUCCUCCC
rnacentral:lncRNA from 1 species